rnacentral:rRNA from 1 species
AUUAGAGUUUGAUCCUGGCUCAGAUUGAACGCUGGCGGCAUGCCUUACACAUGCAAGUCGAACGGCAGCAUGAUCUAGGUUGCUAGAUUGAUGGCGAGUGGCGAACGGGUGAGUAAUACAUCGGAACGUGCCCUGUAGUGGGGGAUAACUAGUCGAAAGAUUAGCUAAUACCGCAUACGACCUGAGGGUGAAAGUGGGGGACCGCAAGGCCUCAUGCUAUAGGAGCGGCCGAUGUCUGAUUAGCUAGUUGGUGGGGUAAAGGCCCACCAAGGCGACGAUCAGUAGCUGGUCUGAGAGGACGAUCAGCCACACUGGGACUGAGACACGGCCCAGACUCCUACGGGAGGCAGCAGUGGGGAAUUUUGGACAAUGGGCGAAAGCCUGAUCCAGCAAUGCCGCGUGUGUGAAGAAGGCCUUCGGGUUGUAAAGCACUUUUGUCCGGAAAGAAAUGGCUCUGGUUAAUACCUGGGGUCGAUGACGGUACCGGAAGAAUAAGGACCGGCUAACUACGUGCCAGCAGCCGCGGUAAUAC